AUUGAACGCUGGCGGCAGGCCUAACACAUGCAAGUCGAGCGAUCGGCGGACGGGUGAGUAAUGUAUGGGGACUGCCCGAUUGAGGGGGAUAACUACUGGAAACGGUAGCUAAUACUGCAUACUAUCGGAUAACCCAUAUGGGUUUAGCUAGUUGGUGAGUUAAUGGCUCACCAAGGCGACGAGCCCUAGCUGGUCUGAGGGGAUGAUCAGCCACACUGGAACUGAGACACGGCCCAGACUGCUACGGAGGCAGCAGUGGGGGAUAUUGCACAAGGGGCGAAAGCCUGAUGCGGCGACGCAACGUGGGGGAUGAAGGCUUUCGGGUUGUAAACCUCUUUCGCUAUCGAACGGGUAGGUGGAGAAGAAGCGCCGGCUAACUACGUGCCAGCAGCCGCGGUAAUUC
rnacentral:rRNA from 1 species